GACAGAGGGUGCAAACGUUGUUCGGAUUUACUGGGCGUAAAGCGCGUGUAGGCGGCUUGGCAAGUCGGAUGUGAAAGCCCACGGCUCAACCGUGGAAGAGCAUCCGAAACGGCCUCGCUCGAGUCUCGGAGAGGAAGGUGGAAUGCUUGGUGUAGAGGUGAAAUUCGUAGAUAUCGAAGCAGAACACCUGCGGCGAAGGCGGCCCUUCUGGACGAUGACUGACGGCUGAGCACGCGAAAGCGUGGGAGCAAACAGG
rnacentral:rRNA from 1 species